rnacentral:rRNA from 1 species
CGAACGCUGGCGGCGUGCCUAAUACAUGCAAGUCGAACGCACUCUCGUUUAGAUUGAAGGAGCUUGCUCCUGAUUGAUAAACAUUUGAGUGAGUGGCGGACGGGUGAGUAACACGUGGGUAACCUGCCCUAAAGUGGGGGAUAACAUUUGGAAACAGACGCUAAUACCGCAUAAAACCUAACACCGCAUGGUGUAGGGUUGAAAGAUGGUUUCGGCUAUCACUUUAGGAUGGACCCGCGGUGCAUUAGUUAGUUGGUGAGGUAAAGGCUCACCAAGACCGUGAUGCAUAGCCGACCUGAGAGGGUAAUCGGCCACACUGGGACUGAGACACGGCCCAGACUCCUACGGGAGGCAGCAGUAGGGAAUCUUCCACAAUGGACGAAAGUCUGAUGGAGCAACGCCGCGUGAGUGAAGAAGGUUUUCGGAUCGUAAAACUCUGUUGUUGGAGAAGAAUGUAUCUGAUAGUAACUGAUCAGGUAGUGACGGUAUCCAACCAGAAAGCCACGGCUAACUACGUG